UUUUGGACAACUGGAAAAGUACUACAGAUGUGGUGAGGGAAACAGCUAGGAAGGUACUGGGUGUAACAUCUGAACAGCGGAAGGAAGACCAGGAGACUUGGUGGUGGAACGAAGAUGUCUAGGAAAGCAUAAGAAGAAAGAUCUUGGCAAAAACGUUUUUGGAUAGUCAGAGAUAUGAAGAAAGUAAACAAGAGUACAAGGAGAUGUGGCAUAAGGCGAAAAGAGAAGUGGCAAAAGCUAAGGAAAAGGCAUAUAUCUGUACAAGAAGUUGAAUAGUAAGGAAGGAGAAAAGGACUUGCACCAACUGGACAGACAAAGCUGGAAAGGGGGAGCAGCAGUUCAGAGUGAUAAAAGAUGCAGAUGGUAAUGUGCUGACAAGCAAGGAGCGUGUGUUGAGAAGAUGGAUGAAAUAUUAAAGAGCUGGUGAAUGAAGAAAAUGCCAGAGAAAAGGCUGGAUGAUGUGGCGAGAGUAAAUCAGGAAGUACAAGAGAUUAGUGAUGAAGAGUGUAAA